rnacentral:rRNA from 1 species
UACGAAGGGGGCGAGCGUUGUUCGGAUUUACUGGGCGUAAAGGGCGCGCAGGCGGCUCAUUUUGUCAGGCGUGAAAGCCCCGGGCUUAACCUGGGAACUGCGUUUGAUACGGAUGGGCUAGAGUUCGGGAGAGGAGAGUGGAAUUCCCAGUGUAGAGGUGAAAUUCGUAGAUAUUGGGAAGAACACCGGUGGCGAAGGCGGGAUCCUGGGCCAGUACUGACGCUGAGGAGCGAAAGCGUGGGGAGCAAACAGG